rnacentral:rRNA from 1 species
ACUCCUACGGGAGGCAGCAGUGGGGAAUAUUGGACAAUGGGCGAAAGCCUGAUCCAGCCAUGCCGCGUGUGUGAAGAAGGUCUUCGGAUUGUAAAGCACUUUAAGUUGGGAGGAAGGGCAGUAAGUUAAUACCUUGCUGUUUUGACGUUACCAACAGAAUAAGCACCGGCUAACUUCGUGCCAGCAGCCGCGGUAAUACGAAGGGUGCAAGCGUUAAUCGGAAUUACUGGGCGUAAAGCGCGCGUAGGUGGUUCAGCAAGUUGGAUGUGAAAUCCCCGGGGCUCAACCUGGGAACUGCAUCCAAAACUACUGAGCUAGAGUACGGUAGAGGGUGGUGGAAUUUCCUGUGUAGCGGUGAAAUGCGUAGAUAUAGGAAGGAACACCAGUGGCGAAGGCGACCACCUGGACUGAUACUGACACUGAGGUGCGAAAGCGUGGGGAGCAAACAGGAUUAGAUA